rnacentral:rRNA from 1 species
UAGGGAAUAUUGGACAAUGGGGGCAACCCUGAUCCAGCCAUGCCGCGUGAGUGAAGAAGACCCUCGGGUUGUAAAGCUCUUUUGUCCGGAAAGAAAAGCUUCGGGUUAAUACCCCGGGGUUCUGACGGUAGCGGGAGAAGAAGCCCCGGCUAACUCCGUGCCAGCAGCCGCGGUAAUACGGAGGGGGCUAGCGUUGUUCGGAAUUACUGGGCGUAAAGCGUACGUAGGCGGAUGCGCAAGUUGGGGGUGAAAUCCCGGGGCUUAACCUCGGAAUUGCCCUCAAAACUGCACGUCUUGAGACCGAGAGAGGUAAGGGGAAUUCCUAGUGUAGAGGUGAAAUUCGUAGAUAUUAGGAAGAACACCAGUGGCGAAGGCGCCUUACUGGCUCGGUACUGACGCUGAGGUACGAAAGCGUGGGGAGCAAAC